rnacentral:rRNA from 1 species
UACGUAGGUGGCAAGCGUUGUCCGGAAUUAUUGGGCGUAAAGCGCGCGCAGGCGGUCCUUUAAGUCUGAUGUGAAAGCCCACGGCUCAAACCGGUGGAGGGUCACUUGGAAACUGGGGGACUUGAGGUGCAGGGAGAGAAGAGUGGAAUUCCAGCGUGUAAGCGGUGGAAAUGCGUAGAGAAUGUGGAGGAACACCAGUGGCGAAGGCGACUCUU